rnacentral:rRNA from 1 species
AGCGAACGCUGGCGGCAGGCCUAACACAUGCAAGUCGAACGAAGCCUUCGGGCUUAGUGGCGGACGGGUGAGUAACACGUGGGAACGUACCUUUUGGUUCGGAACAACUCAGGGAAACUUGAGCUAAUACCGGAUGAGCCCUUAGGGGGAAAGAUUUAUCGCCGAAAGAGCGGCCCGCGUUAGAUUAGCUAGUUGGUGAGGUAAAGGCUCACCAAGGCAACGAUCUAUAGCUGGUCUGAGAGGAUGAUCAGCCACACUGGGACUGAGACACGGCCCAGACUCCUACGGGAGGCAGCAGUGGGGAAUCUUGCGCAAUGGGCGAAAGCCUGACGCAGCCAUGCCGCCUGAAUGAUGAAGGUCUUAGGAUUGUAAAAUUCUUUUACCAGGGACGACAAUGACGGUACCUGGAGAAAAAGCCCCGGCUAACUUCGUGCCAGCCGCCGCCGUAAGAC